rnacentral:lncRNA from 1 species
ACGGGGGAGGUCUAACUACUCGUCUAGACGGCUCACGUGGUGGUGGUGCUUCCCUAUUCCCAUCCCUAGUCCUAACGCGUCUCUUUGCCGUUUGCCGUUGUGGUUGGGUCGAAGUCCCUUCAAUGCUGUAGGAAAGGCGGGUGCCCUCUGCGCCCUCAAAGCUUUGUCUCAGUGGGACAAACUGACUCCUGUUGGGUGCGCCCUCGAAAUGUGGCCUUUGGUAGUUGAGGGUUGAAUCAGGUUGGCUAAAGAACAAUGUCUGUUGUGGUG